AAGGCUUGACCUCAAAUCAGGUAGGACUACCCGCU
rnacentral:rRNA from 1 species